GAUGAACGCUAGCGACAGGCUUAACACAUGCAAGUCGAGGGGCAGCAUAGAAGUAGCAAUACUUUGGUGGCGACCGGCGCACGGGUGAGUAACGCGUAUGCAACCUACCUAUCAGAGGGGGAUAACCCGGCGAAAGUCGGACUAAUACAGCAUAAAACAGGGGCACCGCGCGGUGAUAUUUGUUAAAGAUUAAUUGCUGAUAGAUGGGCAUUCGUUCCAUUAGGUAGUUGGUGAGGUAAUGGCUCACCAAGCCGACGAUGGAUAGGGGAACUGAGAGGUUGGUCCCCCACACUGGUACUGAGACACGGACCAGACUCCGACGGGAGGCAGCAGUGAGGAAUAUUGGUCAAUGGGCGAGAGCCUGAACCAGCCAAGUCGCGUGAAGGAAGAAGGAUCUAUGGUUCGUAAACUUCUUUUGCAGGGGAAUAAAGUGGAGGACGUGUCCUCUUUUGUAUGUACCCUGAGAAUAAGGAUCGGCUAACUCCGUGCCAGCCGCCGCCGUAA
rnacentral:rRNA from 1 species